rnacentral:sRNA from 1 species
GCAUUCUUUCUGUUUGAGAGUCACAAAAGUAUAGUCUGAGAAAGGAAUGGGUCCCAUUUUUUUUAGUUUUUGUCACAUUUCAGAAUCAAGCGACCCUUUUUAAUUAAUCCUUAGUACUGCUUUUAUACGCCAUUUCUAAAUGCUUUAACUGCUUGUAUUUGGGAACCGAUUUUGUUUUGGCAAGGGUUGAAACGAGUUCUUGUUAUCUAUCAACUAAGUUUUUUUUGCCACAUAUUAUUUUUAAGGUCAUUAAUAAAAGUUGUACUUAUCUAACAGAUGUGGAAAGAUUAAAAGAGAAUACAAAUCACGAUGAUAGCAGCAGGGACAGUUAUUCCUCUGAUAGACACUUAACUCAGUACCAUGAUCAUCAUAAAGACCGACAUCAGGGAGAUUCUUACAAAAAAAGUGAUUCCAGGAAAAGACCCUAUUCUUCUUUUAGUAAUGGUAAAGACCAUCGUGAUUGGGAUCACUACAAGCAAGACAGCAGAUAUUACAGCGACAGAGAGAAACACAGAAAACUGGAUGAUCACAGGAGUAGAGAUCACAGGUCAAAUUUGGAAGGAAGUUUAAAAGAUAGAUCUCAUUCUGAUCAUCGUUCUCACUCAGAUCAUCGGUUACAUUCAGACCACCGGUCAAGUUCUGAAUAUACGCACCAUAAAUCUUCCAGGGAUUAUAGGUAUCACUCAGACUGGCAAAUGGACCACAGAGCUUCCAGCAGUGGCCCUAGGUCACCACUAGAUCAGAGAUCUUAUGGCUCCAGAUCUCCAUUUGAACAUUCAGUUGAA